GCGUCGGUGGUUUAGUGGUAGAAUACUCGCCUGCCACGCGGGUGGCCCGGGUUCGAUUCCCGGCCGAUGCA
rnacentral:tRNA from 1 species